rnacentral:rRNA from 1 species
UACGGGGGGGGCAAGCGUUGUUCGGAAUUACUGGGCGUAAAGGGCUCGUAGGUGGCCAACUAAGUCACACGUGAAAUCCCCAGGCUUAACCUGGGAACUGCGUGUGAUACUGGAUGGCUUGAAUUCGGGAGAGGGAUGCAGAAUUCCAGGUGUAGCGGUGAAAUGCGUAGAUAUCUGGAGGAAUACCGGUGGCGAAGGCGGCAUCCUGGACCGACAUUGACGCUGAGGAGCGAAAGCUAGGGGAGCAAACGGG